CCUACGGGUGGCAGCAGUGGGGAAUAUUGCACAAUGGGCGAAACCCUGAUCCAGCAACGCCGCGUGAGUGAAGAAGUCACUCGUGAUUGAAAGCUCUAUCUGCAGGGAAGAAAAUGACGGUACCUGACUAAGAAGCCCCGGCUAACUACGUGCCAGCAGCCGCGGGAAUACGUAGGGGGCAAGCGUUAUCCGGAUUUACUGGGUGUAAAGGGAGCGUAGACGGGAAAGUAAGUCUGACGUGAAAUGGCAGUGCUCAACACUGGAACUGCUUUGGAAACUGUUUGGCUAGAGUGCAGGAGAGGUAAGUGGAAUGCCUAGUGUAGCGGUGAAAUGCGUAGAUAUUAGGAGGAACACCAGUGGCGAAGGCGGCAUACUGGACUGUAACUGACGUUGAGGCUCGAAGGCGUGGGGAGCGAACAGGAUUAGAUACCCCGGUAGUC
rnacentral:rRNA from 1 species